UACGAAGGGGGCAAGCGUUGUCCGGAAUUAUUGGGCGUAAAGAGCGUGUAGGCGGUCCGGUAAGUCAGCUGUGAAAGUCAAGGGCUCAACCCUUGAAAGCCGGUUGAUACUGUCGGGCUAGAGUCCGGAAGAGGCGAGUGGAAUUCCCGGUGUAGCGGUGAAAUGCGCAGAUAUCGGGAGGAACACCAAUGGCGAAGGCAGCACUCUGGGACGGUACUGACGCUGAGACGCGAAAGCGUGGGGAGCAAACAGG
rnacentral:rRNA from 1 species